rfam:Stegodyphus mimosarum contig34116, whole genome shotgun sequence.
GCCUUCGUGGUGUAGUGGUCAGCACGCUGGUCGCGUAUUCCAGAGGUCCGUGGUUCGAGUCCCGACGAAGCGCU